UACAGAGGUCUCAAGCGUUGUUCGGAUUCAUUGGGCGUAAAGGGUGCGUAGGUGGCGCGGUAAGUCGGGUGUGAAAUCUCGGAGCUUAACUCCGAAAUUGCAUUCGAUACUGCCGUGCUCGAGGACUGAAGAGGAGACUGGAAUUUACGGUGUAGCAGUGAAAUGCGUAGAUAUCGUAAGGAAGACCAGUGGCGAAGGCGGGUCUCUGGGCAGUUCCUGACACUGAGGCACGAAGGCCAGGGGAGCAAACGGG
rnacentral:rRNA from 1 species